rnacentral:rRNA from 1 species
GUAGGUGGCAAGCGUUGUCCCGGAAUUAUUGGGCGUAAAGCGCGCGCAGGCGGUUCUUUAAGUCUGAUGUGAAAGCCCACGGCUCAACCGUGGAGGGUCAUUGGAAACUGGAGAACUUGAGUACAGAAGAGGAAAGCGGAAUUCCACGUGUAGCGGUGAAAUGCGUAGAGAUGUGGAGGAACACCAGUGGCGAAGGCGGCUUUCUGGUCUGUAACUGACGCUGAGGCGCGAAAGCGUGGGGAGCAAACAGGAUUAGAUACCCUGGUAGUCCACGCCGUAAACGAUGAGUGCUAAGUGUUAGGGGGGUUUCCGCCCCUUAGUGCUGCAGCUAACGCAUUAAGCACUCCGCCUGGGGAGUACGGCCGCAAAGGCUG